rnacentral:rRNA from 1 species
GACGAACGCUGGCGGCGUGCUUAACACAUGCAAGUCGAACGAAGAGCGAUGGAAGCUUGCUUCUAUCAAUCUUAGUGGCGAACGGGUGAGUAACGCGUAAUCAACCUGCCCUUCAGAGGGGGACAACAGUUGGAAACGACUGCUAAUACCGCACACGAUCUAAUCUCGGCAUCGAGGAUAGAUGAAAGGUGGCCUCUACAUGUAAGCUAUCACUGAAGGAGGGGAUUGCGUCUGAUUAGCUAGUUGGAGGGGUAACGGCCCACCAAGGCGAUGAUCAGUAGCCGGUCUGAGAGGAUGAACGGCCACAUUGGGACUGAGACACGGCCCAGACUCCUACGGGAGGCAGCAGUGGGGAAUCUUCCGCAAUGGACGAAAGUCUGACGGAGCAACGCCGCGUGAGUGAUGACGGCCUUCGGGUUGUAAAGCUCUGUUAAUCGGGACGAAAGGCCUUCUUGCGAAUAGUGAGAAGGAUUGACGGUACCGGAAGAGAAAGCCACGGCUAACUACGUG